UGGGGAAUAUUGCACAAUGGGGGAAACCCUGAUGCAGCGACGCCGCGUGAACGAAGAAGGUAUUCGUAUCGUAAAGUUCUGUCCUAUGGGAAGAUAAUGACAGUACCAUAGAAGAAAGCUCCGGCUAAAUACGUGCCAGCAGCCGCGGUAAUACGUAUGGAGCGAGCGUUGUCCGGAAUUAUUUGGCGUAAAGGGUACGCAGGCGGUUUAAUAAGUCGAAUGUUAAAGAUCGGGGCUCAACCCCGCAAAGCAUUGGAAACUGAUAAACUUGAGUAGUGGAGAGGAAAGAGGAAGUCCUAGUGUAGUGGAGAAAUACGUAGAUAUUAGGGGGAAUACCAGUAGCGAAGGCGACUUUCUGGACACAAACUGACGCUGAGGUACGAAAGCGUGGGGAGCAAACAGG
rnacentral:rRNA from 1 species